rnacentral:lncRNA from 1 species
AGCUGUGGAAGAAAAACUUGAAGAACCAGAGGUCGAGGAGAAACAUGAAAAACCAGCAGCUGAAGAGAAACCUAAAGAACUAGUAGUUGAAGAAAAAGCUGAAGAACCAACACGGGAAGAAACACCGGAAGAACUAGAAUUUGAAGAGAAACCUGAAGAACCAACUGUUGAAGAAACACCUGAACAAUUAGCAGUUGAAGAGAAAUCUGAAAAACCAGUGGUUAAAGAGGAGAAAUCUGAAAAGGUAACUCUCUUGGAAAAGGUGAGGAUCAAGCACUAUCACAAAGUUUAUCCAUCCUAUUAGUUUUGUACGUGCAAAGAUUCAUAUCUACUUAUCUAUUGAAAGAUUAAGUGAAACUUUAAAUUCUUCUUGCAGAAUAUGUCAGUUGUAGAUUUCAAUGACAAGACUAACAGUGAAAUUCCAUGCAAUACCAACAAUGAUGUUGCCGACUAUGUAUCAGUUGAGGCAAACCUUGAAGAACCAGUAGUUGAAGAAAAACCUGAAGAACCAACGGUUGAGAAGAAACCUGAAGAACCAGCUGUUGAAGAGAAAUCUGAAAAACCAUCAAUUGAGGAGAAACGUGAAGCACCAGCAUUUGAGAAGAAACCUGAAGAACCAACAAUUGAGGAGAAACAUGAAGAACAAACAAUUGAAGAGGAGAAACCUGAAAGGGUAACUCUCCUGGAAAAGGUGAGGAUCAAGCAUUGUCACAAAGUUUAUCCAUCUUAUUAGUUGUGUAUACGAUACGAUUUACAUAUGCUUACCUACUGAAAGACUAAGUAAGACUUUAAAGUUCUUUUCUUGCAGAGUAUGCCAGUUGUAGUCUCGAACGACAAAACUGACAGUAAAAUUCCAAGCAUUACCAACAAUAAUGAUGCUCGCUUUUCAGAAGUUGAGGAAAACCCUGAAGAACCUGAAGUUAAAGAAAAACCUGAAGAACCAACAGUUGAGGAGAAACCAGAAGAACCAACAGCUGAAGAGAAACCUGAAGAACCAGCAACUAAAGAAAAACAAGUGCAGAUAGGGGAGGAAACAGCUGAAGAACUACCGCUUGAAGAGAAACCUGAAGAACUAACGAUUGAACAGACAGAUGAAAAACUAGUUGUUGAAAAUAAAACUGAAAAACCAGCAAAUAAAGAGGAGAAACCUGAAACGGUAACUCUCCUUAAGCAGUGUCACAGAGUUUAUCCAUCCUAUUAGUUCUAUAUGUGUAACGAAUUCAUAUCUGUUUAUCUAUUGAAAUACUAAGUGAAAAUUUAAAUUUUCUUGCAGAAUUUGCCUAUUGCAGACUCAAAGGACAAGACUGACAUUGCAAUUCCAUGCGAUACCAGCAAUGAUAUUGCUGACUAUGCAACAGUUGAGGAAAAACCUGAAGAACCAGUAGUUGAAGAAAAACAUGAAGAACCUGCAAUUGAAAAGAAAUUUGAAGAACCAGCAGUUAUGGAGAAACCUGAAGAACCAGCGGCAAAGGUAAAACCUGAAGAACCAGCAGGGAAAGAAAAACCUGAAGAGCCAACGGCUGGGGAAAAACCUGAAGAACCAGCAGCAAAUGAGGAACCUGAAAAAUCAGCGAUGAAAGAGAAACCUGAAGAACCAAUUGUUGAGGAGAAACUUGAAGAACCAACUGUUGAAGAGAAACCUGAAAAACCACUGAUUGAAGAAACACCUGAAGAACCAACAUGGGAAGAAACACCUAAAGAACUAGCAUUUGAAGAGAAACCAGAAGAACCAGCAGUUGAAGAGGAGAAACCUGAAAAGGUAACUCUUAUGGAAGAGGUGAGUAUCAAGCAUUAUCACAUAGUUUAUCCAUCUAUGUGCAACAAUUCACAUAUGCUUAUCUAUUGAAAGACUAAAUGAAACUUUAAAUUCUUCUUGCAGAAUAUGCCAGCUGUAGAUUUCAACGACAAGACUGACCGUGAAAUUCAAUGCAAUAACAAUGAUGUUGCUGAAUAUGUAGCAGUUGAGGAAAACCUUGAACCAGCAGUUGAAGAAAAACAUGAAGAACCAACAGUUGAGGAGAAACCUGAAGAACUAGCAGUUGAAGAGAAACCCGAAAAACCAACAAUUGAGGAGAAACCUGAAGAACUAGCAGUUGAAGAGAAACCCGAAAAACCAACAAUUGAGGAGAAACAUGAAGAACCAAUAGUUGAGAAGAAACCUGAAGAAUCAAUAAUUGAAAAGGAGAAAUCUGAAAGGGUAACUUUCCUAGAAAAGGUGAGGAUCAAGCAUUGUCAAAAGGUUUAUCCAUCUUAUUACUAUUAGUUGUGUAUGUGCAACAAUUCACAUCUGCUUACCUAUUGAAAGACCAAGUGAAACUUCAAAAUUCUUCUUGCAGAGUAUGCUAGUUGUAGACUCGAACGACA